rnacentral:lncRNA from 1 species
UCAACAAAGAAGAACUUUUAAUAUUAUGGAUUCAACAAUUAAAAAAAAGACCUAAUGAUAUUGAAGCAGCAAUAGAGAAAUUGAAAGAAGGAAGGGAAAAGAAUAAAGAAAGAUUUGAUAAAAAAAAAACAUCGACUAUGAUCCAAGACAAUUGAUGAUGGUGAUUGAGUAUUAGCUUAUGAUAGUAGCUCAGAAAUCAACAUAGCACAACAAAGAAGUUUGAAAAGAGAUAGUUUGGGCCUUAUAUUAUCAAAAGGUCAUACAACAAUGAAACAUACUUGUAAUAAAAACUUGAUGGUAUAGAAUUGAAGAUAUCUAUAAUAGAC